CGAGCCCCCCGGCCAGCCUGGAGGGCACUCUGCCUUCUUCUUUUGGAGUCGGAACCAGAUGCCCCCGGUGCUCAGGGCCUGCCAGGACCCCCGAGGAGACCGCCACAGGCUGAGGUCACAGGAUCCCCUUCCCAGCACUGCAGCUCGAAAACGGGUACAACCCUGGUGACCUGUCUCUGCCCCCCAGCUGGCGGGGCAGGAGUGGCCGCAGGAUGAGGCUGCCCAACGCCGGAGCACAGACACAGGGUGAGGUCGCAGGACGGACAGACCCCCUGUGAGUCCAGCCACCAGCUCAGGUCCGUGGUGUCCCCGAAACCAGCCCGAGGGGUGGUGACUUCUGCACAGUCCAGUCUCCACGCCUUGCCUCCGAAGCAGCCACUCACGGCGCCCCGCCCAUCCAGGAGCCGGAGUGCCGGCCCUGUCUGGAGCCAAGCAGUGCUGCCGUCUCGGGGGGCCACACG